CACAGUAAAGGAGGAGACUAUAUUUAAAAGAAGAAAAACUACCACAACAAGAGGACAUAGUCUUAAAUUAGAGGGGCAAAGGUUUAAAAAUAAUAUCAGGAAGUAUUACUUUACUGAGAGGGUAGUGGAUGCAUGGAAUAGCCUUCCAGCUGAAGUGGUAAAGGUUAACACAGUAAAGGAGUUUAAGCAUGCGUGGGAUAGGCAUAAGGCUAUCCUAACUAUAAGAUAAGGCCAGGAACUAAUGAAAGUAUUUAGAAAAUUG